rnacentral:rRNA from 1 species
CCAGCAGCUGCGGUAAUUCCAGCUCCAAUAGCGUAUAUUAAAGUUGUUGCAGUUAAAAAGCUCGUAGUUGGAUUUGUGGUACGCUGCGUGGCCCAAUUUUGGUGCCGUCGCGGCGGACCAUCCUUGGGUGGAACCUGUGUGGCAUUAAGUUGUCGUGCAGGGGAUGCCCAUCGUUUACUGUGAAAAAAUUAGAGUGUUCAAAGCAGGCUUAUGCCGUUGAAUAUAUUAGCAUGGAAUAAUAAGAUAAGACUUCGGUACUAUUUUGUUGGUUUGCGCACCGAUGUAAUGAUUAAUAGGGACAGUUGGGGGUAUUCGUAUUCCAUUGUCAGAGGUGAAAUUCUUGGAUUUUUGGAAGACGAACUACUGCGAAAGCAUUUACCAAGGAUGUUUUCAUUAAUCA